GUACUACUGAAGAGUCCCAAACUAGGACGGAGGAAACAGCUGUUUAGUAC
rnacentral:hammerhead_ribozyme from 1 species